rnacentral:rRNA from 1 species
UACGUAGGGUGCAAGCGUUGUCCGGAAUUAUUGGGCGUAAAGAGCUCGUAGGCGGUCUGUUGCGUCGGCUGUGAAAACCCGGGGCUCAACUCCGGGCCUGCAGCCGAUACGGGCAGACUAGAGUUCGGCAGGGGAGACUGGAAUUCCUGGUGUAGCGGUGAAAUGCGUAGAGAUGCGGAGGAACACCGAUGGCGAAGGCAGCCCCCUGGGCCAAUACUGACGCUCAGGCACGAAAGCGUGGGGAGCAAACAGG